rnacentral:lncRNA from 1 species
UUUCAUUUCUCCCUUUGUAUCUAUUUUUGGAUCAUGUAUCACCAUCCUGAGGUUCCCAAGUGUGACAAUUUUAUGCUUACUGUCAGAUUUUCUGUUGAUUAUAGAAGUCCAUCUCGCCAGAAUGAUAAGUGAGCUGAGAUAUGGUCCACUUAACCUUGAACUUGCAACUCAACUCCAGUGUCAGCUGAGGACUCUGAAGCCCUCCAACACUUCAAAUGAAUCUAGAGAGAACACGAAGCUCCAGCCAUGUUCCAGCGGAACCUGGACCACACAGACUCACGACCCACAUUAA